UGGGGAAUAUUGGGCAAUGGGGGGAACCCUGAUCCAGCCAUGCCGCGUGUGUGAAGAAGGCCUUAUGGUUGUAAAGCACUUUAAGCGAGGAGGAGGGUACUGGUAUUAAUACUACCAGGUACUGGACGUUACUCGCAGAAUAAGCACCGGCUAACUCUGUGCCAGCAGCCGCGGUAAUACAGAGGGUGCGAGCGUUAAUCGGAUUUACUGGGCGUAAAGCGUGCGUAGGCGGCUAAUUGAGUCGGAUGUGAAAUCCCCGAGCUUAACUUGGGAAUUGCAUUCGAUACUGGUUAGCUAGAGUGUGGGAGAGGAUGGUAGAAUUCCAGGUGUAGCGGUGAAAUGCGUAGAGAUCUGGAGGAAUACCGAUGGCGAAGGCAGCCAUCUGGCCUAACACUGACGCUGAGGUACGAAAGCAUGGGGAGCAAACAGG
rnacentral:rRNA from 1 species